rnacentral:rRNA from 1 species
UACGUAGGGUGCGAGCGUUGUCCGGAAUUAUUGGGCGUAAAGAGCUUGUAGGCGGUUUGUCGCGUCUGCUGUGAAAAUCCGAGGCUCAACCUCGGACUUGCAGUGGGUACGGGCAGACUAGAGUGUGGUAGGGGAGACUGGAAUUCCUGGUGUAGCGGUGGAAUGCGCAGAUAUCGGGAGGAACACCGGUGGCGAAGGCGGUUCUCUGGGCCUUACCUGACGCUGAGGAGCGAAAGCGUGGGGAGCGAACAGG